rnacentral:rRNA from 1 species
AUACGGAGGGUGCAAGCGUUAAUCGGAAUUACUGGGCGUAAAACGCACGCAGGCGGUCAAUUAAGUCAGAUGUGAAAGCCCCGAGCUUCACUUGGGAAUUGCAUCUGAAACUGGUUGGCUAGAGUCUUGUAGAGGGGGGUAGAAUUACACGUGUAGCGGUGAAAUGCGUAGAGAUGUGGAGGAAUACCGGUGGCGAAGGCGGCCCCCUGGACAAAGACUGACGCUCAGGUGCGAAAGCGUGGGGAGCAAACAGGAUUAGAUACCCUGGUAGUCCACGCUGUAAACGAUGUCGAUUUAGAGGUUGUGGUCUUGAACCGUGGCUUCUGGAGCUAACGCGUUAAAUCGACCGCCUGGGGAGUACGGCCGCAAGGUUAAAACUCAAAUGAAUUGACGGG